CCACUCCCCUCAUCUGCCCCUUUCCCACAGAGUCCACCACUGUCUUCACGGGCCAGUGCUUCAUGGACAGGAGAGGGAAGGAGGUCCUGAAGACCAUGUGGCUGCUGCGGUCGAAUGCUGAUGACACUGAUGAUGACUGGAAAGCCACCAGGGUUGGCUACAACAUCUUCACUCGCACACAGUGAAGGAGUGAGGAUGGCCCCGCGAGUCCCAAAUCAGCAACGAAGCUGGAGUGCUGACACUGCUUGUGACAUUCCUCCCAAUAAAGCUUUGCCUCAGAUGUA